AAAAAUUGCUGGAGUGGAGGGAGCGCUCUUCAAGUGAAGCCAGCGCCGCCAUGUUGUGGUGGGCAGAAAGCUCGGCUCGGCUGGCUCGGUGGCGGCCAGCGCUGCCAGUUCACCUGCAGCGACGGUGGAUUGCGGUUCGUGCGCCUGUCUUUCCUUGACAAGUGUGUCUCUGCAGUGCAUUCGAAUGCGUGCGGCUCGAUUCAAGCGAGCAUGGUACAAUCCUGCGUAGCGUAUGGGUGCACAAAUCGCGCGAUUCCUGCUUCCAAGAUCACAUUUCACAGGUUUCCAAAAGAUGCUGAGACACGGAACCUAUGGGAGCGAGCUGUGCGUCGUGAACACUGGAAACCGACAGAUAAAGAUCGCCUUUGCUCUGCGCACUUUGAUCCGGCGUGUUUUGACCGGACCGGACAAACAACAAGGUUGAAAGCGGGAAGUGUGCCGACUUCGUUCGCUGCUUUUCCUGCCCACCUCCAGGCACCGGUGAAAAGGAAGCGGCCAGCACCAAAACCUCGAGGAUGCAGUCCUGCUCAGCAGCAAGAGGCCUUAAAUACUGAAGAUCAUGUCACUGUAUCAC
rnacentral:lncRNA from 1 species